UCCCAGCAGUCCAAGUUGCAGCCAGCAUUAUUGGGUCUAAAACAUCCGUAGCUUGUUUAACAAGUUCUUUGUGAAAUCUGGCAUCUUAAGUGUCAGGCGCGCAAAGAAUACUGUUGAGCUAGAGACCGGUAGAUGUAAGGAGUACACCUAAGGUAGUGGUAAAAUACGUUAAUCUUAGGUGGACUAACAAUUGGCGAAGGCACCUUACAAGGACGGAUCUGACAGUGAGGGAUGAAGGCUAGGGGCGCAAAAC
rnacentral:rRNA from 1 species